rnacentral:lncRNA from 1 species
CUACACACAAACGUCGAACGGUAUUGAAGUAACUUUUGUUUCAGUUUUUUUUUCACAACAAUUCAAAAAUAUCCAAGCUAGAGAGAGAUAUCAGUGAAGUUCCGUUGUGAAAUAUAAUAAAGCGGAUGUUUGUGCUCGCAGGAGGUGGAGCAAAGCGCCGAUAGCUAACAGGUAAGCUAAAUCGCGCGAUAACCGUUGCUAGAGUGUUUGUUUACAUUGUCGAGCUAGUACUUUCGGUGACUCUGGUAUUUGGAGUUCAUACACUUUUUGUUUAAUAGGCCACAUGGAUGCAAAUUAGUGGUAGCUGGGUCUUAUAUUGUUAGAUAGAGUGCAGCAGCAUAAUUGUAGAGCUGAAGUGACUCAGAUACAGAACCUUAACAUCCAUGUUUGAAACACAAAGACUUAACCAGAGGGAGUUAAAACUACAACAACAUUAAAUCAACCAUUUGUUUUAUAUGUGCUAAACUCUGGUGGUAUAUUACAGUUUUCCUCAGUCGCUUUGGUGCAUAUCUCACAUCACUAUUAACAUUUACACAACAGUUGAGUUGGUGCAUUUCUCAGAACAAUGAGUACAAACCUCAAAACGUAGUGGAUAGCCUGCAAAAGCGCGUCACUUGCUCAAAAUGAAUAGUUGAUUCCUCAAAAGCAAGUAUUCCUGUCAGUGGAAGUGUCUGUGUCAUCAAAAUAAUAAGUCCAGACAUCAUUGUUUAUGAACAAGACAGUCAAAUGGCAGAGAUUGGAAAAUGUGGAGUCACCAAGUCAUUUCCGUGCCAUGUAUCUGUUCUGCUCAGUUACUGAACCAGGUGCCUUCUGCCUUCACUAAUGAGCUCACCCUCCUGGCUGCUCAUUGGAAGCAGCUGGUUCAGUGACAGAGCAGAGCAAAUACAUGGCAUGGAGAUGACUUGGUGACUCCACAAUUCCCAUCUCUGUCAAAUGGCUUUGUCAUGUUUUCAUUAUGACACUUUACUCUGUUUUCCAAUGCAAAAAAAGUCAGAUCUUGGUACCUGAAGAUGCUCAAGACAGCACUAUACACUACCUGUAGAGCCAUUUGAAAACUACAGUAAAGAAUAAGAAGAACUUUAUUAAUCACCGAGGGGAAAUUCAAUUGUCUGUUGUCUCACAUAAUAUGUCUCUAAAAGUUAUCUAUUAUUUACAUAAGAGUUACAAAGUCUGAUGGCUGUUGGUACAAAAGACCUUCUGGAUCUUUCUGUCCUGCAGCGAAGAGAGAGGAGCCGUCCACCACCAUUGGCCCUUUGGUCCAUCAAAGUGUUGUGAAGUGGGUGAUCCAUGUUCUUUAGAAUAGUUAGAUCUCUCCACCACAUCCUCCACUGAGUCCAGCUUGAAUCCAACCACAGAGCCAGCCUUUUUCACCAGUUUGUUAAGACGUCUUGAAUCUUUGUGUUUGAUGCUUCCUGAACAGAACACUGUAGACACUACAGACUGAUAAAACCUCUGCAGUUAUGUGAGAAAUGCACCAAAGCUGAGAAAAACUGUAAUAGCAGAUUGUUGUUGACAUCUUCCCCCAGUAGAGGGCACUACAUGCAUGUGCUGAGCCUCUCUCUUGGCUGCCUGCCUUUGCUUCUCUGGAAAUUGACUGAUGUUAAACCUUUGGGUUCCAGUUUAGUUUGGAUCUAACCUGUUUUGGCAGCGUGCUUAAUGCUUUUUAUAGUAGCACAGGGCUUGGCAGCAGCAGAGAAAACCCAGUAACUGUCUGUCCCACAUUAAGUGCAGGCCUAUCAUUACUGUCUGCGCUGCUUUUAACAACUCUGAUGAGCUGGUUGCACAUAUACCAUCGCUCACAGCUAUACUGUGUAUUCAUAUAUAUAUACAAUCCCAUAAAACCUUCAGAUGCUCUUGUCUGUGAAUGAUUGGAGUGUGUUGAAAAGAUGUUGAAAUGAAUUGAGAAGAGAAUUGAUCAGGUUCUUUGGUCCGAUCUUCACAGAAAAACCAAAAUUUCCAAUUCAAAUCGUCCAUUUUGAUCCCGGCUAAACUUCUUACACAUCCCUCCUGUUUGCUUCCUGUAUGGUCGUGUGUUGACCAACCUGUCUGUCUCUGCAGGGUCAAACUUGUUAACCUCUCCAUUGAAGGAAACAUCAUCAGGAGGGGGAUGAUGUGCAGUUUGCUACACAUUGUAAGGCACACAAACAGACGCCCUGAUCCCACAGGCAGAACGUAGCUUUCACCACCGAGCAAACAUUUGAUCCGAUGGUGGAUCAUCGCACUAACCCUCAUCCCCCAUUAGGCCGCCAUGUUUCACUCCAUUGCUUGUUCUUUAUGGUGUACAGACAGAAAAGAUGCACCAGAGGAAAGAUUUAUGCGCUGCAGUUGACCUCAUGCUGGGGAGUUUAGUGUAGAAAUUGAGACGUAAGCUGUGAAUUUAGUGUGACAGGGUUUAGAAGAGCAGAAAAGGGAAGCCUUCUGUCUCAUGUUCAGGGACAAGCGGACAACUUAUUUGUUGUUACAGGGCUGCUCGUGGUGUUAACCCAUGACCCCUCUGCCCUCUGACCUGUGGAACGACAGCUCCAUCCACGCGUCAGGGAGAAGAGCUGUCACAACGGAAACACCCAGAACAUGGGCAGGGCUGACGGGGAGACAGGGACAAUUACAUAUUUGGAGAGAGCAGGAUCAAACAGACCGCGCAGCUUAAGAGUGUCAGGCCACCGGAUGCAGAGUGUGUCUGCAGGAAAAGUCUGGAUUAAGAGUUCAACUCUGCUAAAGUGAUGAGAGCAGUUAGUGGACUGCAUGGCAUGUAUACAUCUGUAAAAUCUUAGGGAUUGAUUUGCAUUUUUUUCCUGAUGAAAGCGGCUUUUGAAUUAAUAUAAUUAGUCUGAUUUUUGCAGAAACAGAUGUUGAUGUUGACGCUUGAUUAAAGUCCAUUAAAUUAAUUAUAUCUCAUUAAAAAUUCUUCUUUUAAACAUCAGUAUCAGCUCAAAUUUUCACAAUCAGUAAAUCUCUAAGAGUCAAAUAAAGGUUGGUUGGUUAUAUGCUUUGGUCCCUCUGUAUCCUGGCAAACUUGGGUCCAAAAUUUCCAGUGAUUAUUUGCAGAUCAGGUUGUUAGGAAACCUGGAAUGAAAUGCUUUGGCAUAAAAAAACAGUUUUCUAUUGACUUUUUACAAACACAAGACAUGGGCAUGAUUUGUUGAAUGAGCUGCUUUGGCUUAGAUUUAGUCUUUUAAAACACAAGAUGCAGAUGUUUGAUGGGUAAAAUCAUGAACUGGUUGAAUGAAUCAAAUACUUUCAAAUCUCGAAAUAUGUCUUUUUGCAAAAUCCAAUCUUAAAAUACCGUAGAGCACAGGUGUGCAGAUGGUCGAGUGCGUUAGCACACCUCACGUAUGGGGACCAUGGUACCUGUGGCGGUUGCAGGUUCGAGUCCAGUCCCGACUGUGUGCUGCAUGUCUUCCCCCUAACCCUCCCCUCACCCUAUAAUAUCAAUAGAAAGGCAAAAUUGCCUCAAAAAAUACUAAAAUAAAAAAAAAAUAUAUUCUUUAGAGCAAAGCCAUGGUGUUCACUGAUAACUGGAAAAGAAAUGCUAACCAUCAAUGCAUGUUAAAUAUAAUCUGUUUUCAUGCUGCAGAGAGUUGAAAUCUUCUUGCAUAGCUUUCUCUUGGAUUUGUUUUGGGGAAACGUCACGUGUUAAAGUCUCCUUUUGAACAAGAGCGAAGACAGCAGAAUGUACAGAGAACAAUGUCUGACAGUCUGGAAAAUAUGUUGAAGCCAAAGCCUGGUGGAAAACUUCAGGGGAACAUUUGGGGUUCAAGUGGUCAAGGUUCCUGCUCGUACACCGCUUGUUUAUUUUAUCUGGAACUCAGCAGCCAUCUGAUUUUGAUGGCUCCCUGAAUUUAUCACUGUUUCUGCUGAUAACCACCUUCCACUAGGGUUUAAAGGUCUGACAUUUGUCUUGCAUUUUUCAGGUGACAAACAGAUCCACCUUACUCUUUUGAACGUCUGCGUCCAGCGCCUAAAAUUCCGCUGAAGGAGCUCUAACUCUGAUCCCUGGAACCUUCAGGCCAUGGGCGAAGAAUACAGAGGUGGGUGACUGCAAACAUCAGUGCCACACAUGUAUCGCACAGGGUCACUUUAUCUUCAAAGCCUGUCGCCUCCAACAUGUGAUACGACUCAGACCUCCAAAAAAGGCAGACAUCUUGCAUUCCUGAGUCCAUUCCACAAAGUACAAUAACUUCCUUGAAUUCUUCGACCCUCGGCGGCGGAGCCAGGGCACAUCCUGUUGUCCUCGCAGCACUUCCUGUUCAUGCAGCUCAGUCGGUUGUCCCCGUUGCCAUGGACACUUGAAAACACUGUACUCAUGCUUAAUAGGCAUACUAGUGGGUUAUGAAAUGAAGGGUACAGAGGCAGGAGUCAAUUUCCUGCCUGUGCACGAUAAGUACGUUUCAUGUAUACAAGAUAAUUACAGUCGUUUAAAUGUCAGUCAUCUAUUUUCUUUUUACGAGCUAUAGUCAUUGUUCGGAUGCACCUUAAAGAGUUUAUUGAGUACAGCUGGUUUCUUCGCUUUUUUUGAAGGUCUGUGAUGUUAGAAUGAAUGAUGUUGUUUAGUGCAGAACGGCAACAGCGCCAAGCAGCUGCAGAAAUCUAAAUUCAAUCUGUGCAUCAACAAAGAGGAUGCACCAGCAGACAUCUCUCUCAUACUCUCUGAUUAGCUGCAUUAUAUACGUGGAGACACAACUUAGAGGUUUAUAGUGAGGGUGACGUGUCCAUGUUUGGGUGGCAGUAGCUCAGGAGGUAGAGCAGUCGUCCAAGAACUGGAAGGUCGGGGUUCGAUUCCCCCCCUGUCCCAAAUUUGUCUGUUGUGUCCUUCAGGCAAGACACUCAACCUACCUUGCUCCCAGUGUGUGUUCUCCUCUGGUUUAUGAGUGUGAGUGUUGUGCAGUGGUGGUCAGAGAGGCUGUAGGUGCAAACUAGCAGCCAUGUCUCCAUCAGCUGUGACUACUAAGGUAGUUUACCACCACCAAGCUGUGACUGUGUGAGCGAAUGAAUGAUGUACCCGAUGUAAAGCGCUUUGACGGUCUCUGAUUAAGCGCUAUAAAAUCUGAUGCAUUAUUUUAAGUUCUUUAGUCCUUUAUGGAGAUUUUACUGUUAUAAGUAAAUGAUAAUGAUAAAAUCAAGUUGGCAAAUGUACCUGGAUGGCUGUAAAUAUGCCUCAGCAGGUUGCACAAGUGUAAUCUAUAGGUGGGACUCAAAAGAUGUUCUCAGACAGGAAACAAGAACUGAAACUACAGGGAAGCUCAGUUGGUCUUAUUUCCUGACAGAAAGACACGCUCAGUUUUUACAGUUUUUUUCUCUCUACCUGGCAGAGUGAACCACUCAGUCUGAUGAAUUCAGAUCUGUUUCUUGGAUCUACUUCUAUAAAGCUAGUUGUCCAGUCUUUUGAUGUUGCCUGCUUUACAUUUAUAAAAGUAGAAAGUUUCUCUCUCUCUGUUUACCUGCAGGAGAGUCAAACUGUGAUGUGAAGGGUACAGAGCCGUAAGAGGGGAUGAAUGGCAAUCUUAUACUGAAAAAUUGAAGAAAAAAGUUUAUAAAUAGGCCACAAAUACACUGAAGUAGUUGUAGAUAAAGCCUAGUGGGCUUGCAUGGGUAUAGUCUGUAACCUGGUUUAUACCCCUAUGUUGGUUUUACACCACAGCUACACCUUUGUGAGGAGGGGGGCACUAUUUUAAAAAUAUAGGGGUUACCAGAAAUGUUGUAAAUGAGGAAUAUCAUGUUGCAGGGCUUGUGGUCAGAGUCAUAUAUCAGGAUUAUGUGCAAAAUGCUGUAAGGUUAAAGGUAACGAUCUCUGAUUGGCUCGUGUCCUUCUGGUGUUGAUGCUUAUUAUUCUAUAAUCAUGAUCAUGAGAAAAGUGACACUCAUAUUAAAAAUGAAACAGACACACUCUUGAGGAGGUUGCUGCAGGAGCGUUUGUACUUUUUGUGCUGGAGGGUGUUUUCACCUUCUCUUGUGGGUAAACUGAACCUCCUGUGUGAUGUGGUUUCACCAGGCAUGUGUGUCAGUUGCUCUUGGCAGAACUCUGGUGUUAAUAUGAGGCUAAGACAAAACACGCUUGUUUUUGUCUUCGCUAUAGUGUCAAAGGUCACACCAGAUUCACACAGAUAAACUCUAUGUUACCUGCGUCAGCUCAGAAGAUAAUUAUAUCUACUUUAAUGUCGAAAACUGUUAAUUUUUCCGUUUUUGGCCCCUUUUAUUCCCAGCAGUCUGCAGCCAGCACACUAAUUUGUUUCGUGUUACUGUAAAUGCUGAAAUCAGUUUGCUCAUGAGCUCAAUUAAGAAUUUCUUGGAAGAAAAAAGUGCCUCCAAGAAAAUCUUAAUUGAGUUACAGAGCUGGAAACAAUAAACUCAGCAAAUACGAAGUAUGUUUGACAAUGUUUGUGAAUAUUAUAAAGCCUGCACUUGCUGUAUGCUGCAUAUUAAAUUCUUGGAUGAGUCCUACAGUGAGCUCAGUUUGUUUCAUAACUGUAGUUUCACUGCCAGCAAGUUGUCCAUUUGUCAGCUUCCAACACGAAAACCGCGGCCAAACUUUCAUCCUACUCUUACAGAGAGAGAGAAGGAAACUGAGCGGAGUCUCCUGGGUCUGCUCACCCUGAGGGAUGCAUUCAAUUCUGCUUCCUGCAAGAGUCUAUACGGCAGAGACAAAUCAGACCAGCAACAGGCCGUUAUAAAGUCCAACUCUGAUUGUUUUUUGAAUUUUUUUUUAACUACUUAAAGUGUUGUCAUGAUGAUGAUAGUUUUUAUCCAAAAUCACGUUACCUGUGUCAUUUUCAAGGUCUUUUCUUCUACAGAGCUCCAGUAGAUCAUUAGCAAUUCGCCUCUGAGUCGUGGGUGGAGACAGUGCAGCUCUCCUCACUCCUCUUCACGCUAGCUUGUAACCUAACAUUGCCGGUGUAGUAGAAGAAGCAGGUAACAUAGGAGCUCUUCAGCUUUCAGACAGUAAUGUCUUUGGGGACGUGAUGAAAGCUAAUAUCAUAAUUAACUUUCUUAUGAGCAUUGCAAUCCACUAACGCACACGCUUGUUCCGCGAUCUUCCUCUCUACUUUUCCGAGCUCUGGGGCUCUGGGGGCGGAGCUUGGAGUUGUGAUGUAGGAAAUCUCACUGUGUCUGAUUUGAAUGCAGAAAUACUCAGAAAUACAAUUUCACACUUAUUAAUCUCAUGAUCUGUCCCGUAACAUCAGAAAAAUGUCAUAUGAACAUGUAGACAACAAGAAAAAGAUGAUUUUCAUCGGAGUGGGUCUUUGAAAGCAGAGGAGGGAUGUAACAAGCCCUCAUACCCCGAUGGGUGAGGAUGAGCAAACUUCAGGAAUGGACAGAGAUAGCAGACAAAGGUGGCGGUCCAUGAUAUCAUGCAUCAGGAAGGUGAUACCGCCUCUCCUCUCCUCUAGCUGAGGCUGACCCGUAUGCACACAGACGAAACACCACACCUCCGUCUGCUGCCUGCAAACAUGACACCGAUACUCAUCCCCAAUCUCUUCACAUCUCUAAACUCUUCAUUCUUACAUGUUGUUUAAAAUAGUCCCUAAAUUCCUCCCUGAAUCACCAGCUUAACUGUUAAGUUAUGUCACAACGCUGCUGACUGAUUCUGACGUUUGGCCGAUAAAAGCCACAAAAAUGAUGAUGAGGGUAUUCGUGACUGUACAAUUUCCUCAUGAUUCACCCCGUAUCUGGUCAUGCUGGGGACUUUUCACGCCUUCUGGAUGGGCCGUAUCAGAUGGCACACCGGAUGCCUGCCUCUGGACCAGAGAAGAAUUAUGUUUGGAUAUUCUUGGGGUCAGGUUGUUAUCUGCAACGCCCCUACACAACCGAUCCCAAACAAACAUAAACAACCUUUUUUUCUGCAGCACCAAGAAUGUAUGCAUUUUUGUUUUGUUUUAGUUCUUCUGAUACCAAACCGUUGAGUAAACUUGUCUGUUUAAUGACGGACCAGUAUCAUAUUCCACUGUCUUUGGAGGUAAACUAUCAUGAGGGGUGAUCUCUUAUCUUAGAUGGUGCUGAAAUCUUUGAUAGUCCACAUCACUGGUGCUGAAAGAAGUACAGGGAUCAUUUCUUUGAUUUGAAAUCUAAAUCUGAAACUAUAAAAUCCUCAAUGAAUUCUUUUUGUAUUCCAGAUUUAUAUAUUUAGUCUUUUCUGCCUCUUUUGUUCGGGGCGGCUGAGGAGAGACAGGAAAUGUGAGGAGAAUAGAGUGGAGUAGACGUGCAUCAAAGGGCCAGGCCAGCAUGAAGGACCGCAGCCUUUGUAUUUGUGGCACACGCUCUAUUGGCUGAAAUAAAUCCGGCGCCCCAAAUUAUUAACAGUCUGAAUCAUUGUGAAGUAUCCACAUGGAAGUUGGACAUUGUCGUCAGAAGAUUUUCCACUGAUAUUUUUCAGUUGCAGCAUUUAGAAAAGCUGCUAUGAACCUGAACGGGAUUACGUCUGAGUUUGUGCGUUUGAACAUUAGACGUGUUAAAACUUCCAAAAGUUUGGGUGUCCCCGCGUUUUUUUUUUCUUAAUGUGCUCCCCUCUGACUGGAGGGAGACUUUGGUUUAUUGGCCCUCUGACAUGAUCAGUGAAAUCCUCUCUAAGCCUCUACCCCUCAGCUCUGCACGCUCAUCAAACUUCACUCAAAUAUGUUAUGAUCUUCUAACUGCUUUCCCCAGCAGGGCAGCAUGUCAGGAAUGCUGCUUAAUGUCAGCGCCUGUCAGUCCGACUUAACGCGAGCCGCUCUGUAACACUUAAAGCCUGUGAUGUCAUGGCGUGAGAGUCGGUGUAAGAAAAACUGCCGGCACGCGAUGUUAUUAAUAGAGCGAUGUGUAUGUGUACAGUAUAUGUGUGUGUAGUUUUAGCGGCAGACAUCCCAUGGGACAGAUCCAGCUUAUCAGAGCUCCCAAAGGUGUUUUAUUAGUGGUGCAGAUGUGUGGAAAGAUCAACACUGAUUAAGACCUUGUGACGGAUUCAAGCUGUCAGUGAUGGUUUUGUUUCUUUGUUUUGUAACAUUAUGACUUGAAAUUGUAAUUUCAUUUGUGACAACAGAAACAAAAUCAAAUCAAGCUUAUAAAACUUUUUUGUGACCUAAAAAUAACAAAUAAACCUGCUACCUGUAGGAAUUUAGGCGUUUGUAUUAUCGAGGGAUGAAUUGUUCAGGGGCUCGACCUCAGCUGAACUCAGUCAGCGUGACUCUGGCUUUACACAGUCACGUAAAAGUUUAUUUAUAAAGCUUCUUUAAGAAGACAGCAGUUUAUCUAAGUGCUGUACAUGGGAUAAAUAAAUAGAUUACAAUUAAAACGAUAAAAUAAAAACAGUGUAUUAAAUUACAGACAGCAAAAAAAUAACAGCUACACUUCCUAUGACUUGUUUGUUCUCAUUUAUGAAACACAAGGGAGAAAAGGUGGGUCUUUAAGGACGAUGUAAGGACUAUGUUCUACCAAUACUGUCUCCAAUGAGUGUUAAAAUAGUAUUUUCUUUUAACCUUGUACAUCGUUGGUUUUAUUUCUCAAAAUUUUCUGUAUUUUAAAUUGUGUUUUUUAUUUCAUUUUCUUCUUUGUAAGGUGUCUUUGAGCACCUGUAGACUGUGAUAACUGCAAUUCUUCCAUUUUUUCAAGGUCUAACCUUCCUCGGAAAAUUUCUUAGUUUUCAAUCAUGAAAAAUAAAAAAUUCAUCGCAAUAUGUGCUCCAACAUGUUUUGUCUCUGUUAAUUAAACUGAUCAAUCAAUACAUUUCUUGCCAAACUACAUUGUAAAUUUGAUUACAAAAAAAAAAAACUUUUGAAUUGGUAUCUCGGCUCUGCGAGACUGAAAUAGUUGGCUGUAGCACAGUACUCUCCCCAGAAGAGACAGGAUUUUGAGCUGUUUCAGUUUCAGAGAUGCUGCUUGUAAUGGGAUGAUGUGUCGCCUGUGUUUGCAGGUUGAGCUGGUCUGGUCUAAAACAUCUGGAUCAAGUUGACUGGAUAUCGAUUAGAAUUACAAAUGAUAUUUAUUAUCUUCUUUUAUCUAAACUCUGGUGGUUUUGUCUUGAUUAAAAUUGACUAUUUGGUGUUCAAACCUUUAUGUAACAGGAGAGGACAAUGGUCAGUAAAACCUGUAAAUAGCAUGUUUACAGGGGGUGCUUUGGAGGUUGUGUAACUCUUAAUCAGGUGACUUGUUCCAGCAUCAGGUGAACAACAAGUCAUUUUCCCAAAUUGCCAGUCUGAGCCUGCAUGGUUGCUCAAUGUGACACAGGCAGAGAUUUACGUAACGAAUAAUAGUUGGUGUCCCAACCGUCCCCGAAGUCAAGCGUGUAAUGAUUUUCGCCGUCCCAUCCCUAUCAGCUUUCUCUGUCUCCACAUCCAAACCAAAACGGGUACCAGGAACUUUAUAUAUAGUCUGCUGUUAGAAACUGAUGAUGGUUAUUUUAAGGGAGGUGAGUCCAUCCCAGCUGUAUUGUGAAGUAGAAAUUACACUUUUGAAUUGGACCACUUCAAAUGAGAACCCUGAGAACUGGUUCUGAACUUGUAUAACACCAAUGUUGCUCAGGUUAAACAUUACGAGGGAGUGUUUUGUUGUGAAAAGCUUUUCGCCCAUAGCAACAUAUUUUCUCACAGCUCGCUAAAUGAGACGAACAGUAGCACUCGGAUCAAAGUCGGUAAAACCGCAAACCUCAAACCUGCCUGCCAAUCAUAACAGGCUGGCGUGCUUCUGUGUCCUUAUUACAGAGUCCCCUGAUGAGAAAGGACACGUGUGUGUGUGUGUGUGUGUGUGUGUGUGUGUGUGUGUGUGUGUGUGUGUGUGUGUGUGUGUGUGUGUGUGUGUGUGUGUACCAGCUGAACCUGAAAAACAAGCAAACAUUAAAACACCAGCUGAGCCUUAAAGUGAGGGCGAGGGAGCAGGAAAGCGGCAGAAAUGCUCAGUUUGAUAUGUCGUGUGUUUUUCUCUGAGUCAUUGGACUUUUUUAUUGCUGAAUUUCCCUGAGGGUCCCUUGAUUGUGAAGCCCCCCUUUCCUGUUACUGAACCUGAGCACAGAAGUCGUUGGAUUGGUUGGAAGGAGUGGUGGGAAUGUGGCUUUGGCUCGUAUGCCAAAGCCCUCAGGGCAUCCAUAGUUGAGGGCUUUAUUUCUCACCAAUUUAAUGCUCGAGUAACGCUCAAGAUCAGAAAGGACUUCCAUGGAAUUUAAUGGAGGACAGUUGAAACUAUAGCUGUGACACUAUAGCUGUAGUAUAGUCUAUAAUUAUAUACAUAGUUCAGGAGUGUCAUAACCAGACUACAGUGACUAAAAAUAGAAACUCCUCAAGGUGUGAAUUGAAUUGUUAGUAGGUAUGUUCUGGAUUCCACAAGACCCUAUUUUUAGGGGCCAACAGAGUCAAGCUGACUGAGCUGACAAGAAAAACGAACUCAGAGUAGAGUACUGUCUUCACAUUAACUCGAUCAUUGGCAACUAAAGGAGGUAAAAACUGUUACAAACAGAACAAACCCUUUUUGAAACGGUUCGAGGGUUCGUGAUUUCAUGCAAUUUUAAAUGUAUUAUUAGGGCCGGGGAAAUGCUAGCUGCAACAUGUUAAGCAUUCAGGUGAUUCUGGAGGCUUGACGUCCUGCGGUGAUAUGCAAAUUAUUUUUUGCAUAGUUUGCACAAGACUAUUUUUUUUAUCCAGGCUUCCAGCCAUUUUUUUUUAAACAAAAAUGCCCAUCCACGCUGGAGCCAAUCAAAACUUAUUCAUCCGCGACUUUGUUUACUUUUCCACGCGCUUGGGUGAGAUUGGAGUCACUGCUGCACUCACUCACAUUGGUGUACGCCGGUAUAAAUUGUAUACCUAAAACUUGUCCAGUGAGAAACGUUCCGCGGUGCAAAACUACAGUAGGUGCGAUUAAUAUGCGUUAAUAUUUUUAAGGAGAUAAUAUUACUGUAAUUAAUUAAUUGCAAUUAACGCGUUAAAUUCCAGGCACUAAUAUUUAUUACUGUACAGCUUAGGGUGCAGGGGGAUGGGUUAGGCACAUGGUCAGGGCUGAUACUUGGUAUCAAAUUCUAUAUUUGAGCAAGGAAAUAAAAGGACUUGCAGAGAAGAAUGGAGUUGGCCAGUGCGCCAUUCUUGGUCCAGAAAAUGAACAUCAAAUUGUACGUAAUUGUAUGUAAAUUGCCAAAUAACCUCUUGACCUGAGCAUUGUGUCUCUAGCCCAGGUAUGUGGACAAUAACCUGGAUGAGGAAAGAUUAAAAAAUGAACAAUUUCCUCUAUAAACAGAUCAGUUGGUAACGUCAUAAAAAGUUUUAUUUUAAAAAGUCUAUUAAAAUAAGCUUAAAGGAUAUUUUAUCUUGUGAAUUUUAUCGUGGAUACAGCUUUAGAUCUUAUCUCCUUCCUCCUCAUGUACAGUACAUGUGUGCCUAAUAUCCUCUAAAGAAAAAUCUCCUCCUGCUUCCUUUGAACCAGGAGACAUCGCUCUUUGAUUCUCUGCCAGGAAAAACGCUAACAAAGGUCUGCAGGCUGUUUAUUGCUCCAUCUUUAUCCGACAGUGAUGACAGACGUUCAAAAAAGUAUGCAUCAAAAAAGUCAAACACACAGCCGGUGGUUUAGUUUGCUUUUUGUUGGUCAUGUAGAGACAUCAGUGCACAUUUAGACUGUUUUAUAACCAGAUAAAAACACAUUUUAUGGUGAAAAGGUGCAUUUGUUUCUUACACAAAUCCAAACAUAACAGCUCAUUUUUCCACAGCAGUGCCAAGUCUGCAGAAAUGUUGCCAGUAAAAAUAAUCCAGAGAGCGAUUACACUUCCUUUGACACGUGUUUGGAAAAGUGUUUAGCAGCGUAUAAUUGUAACUUCUCAUAGACGGGAUUGUUUAGUUCACAGCAGCACAAUUUUAGCAUCCAGGCUGCAAAUCUCAAAUUGAUGUUUACAUUCCAGUUCCAGGCUAUUUCCAGACAUACCUGCUGAAUCCUCCCUUUCUGUUCUGUUAUUCUAGCACAACAUGAGGAGCGGUGGUUUCCAAAUUUAAAAUGAUUUAUCUGACUUUGGGAUGAUUUUGAGGCUUUGAGACACAGGUCAGUGCAAACCACAGGUUUGUUUAUGACAAGUAUAUCCUACAGAGGAACAGAUUCAUUUUGCGUCUCUUAAUCACAGAGCGAUGCAGCGUGUCAGCAGGAGCACGCCCAGCGCAUACCGACUCGCAUGAUGUGGUAAACAAGAAGUCAAAGAGAUGCAACAGCUGACCUCUUUUUGCCACAAAAUACGUCUUUAUUAGAAUUACAUAACACACUGGAAACCUUUCCUGAGGCCUCCUCUGCUCGCUGAUGAUAAAAUUUGAUAAGCGCAUAUGUUUAUGAAAUACUGGUUAGUAUUUUUCAUAAUAUUAUUACAUGGAGAGACUGAAAGCCAAGACAUUUGACAGGAAUUGGAAGCUGUGCGGGAUUUUGUCAUAGAACAGAGUACACAGACAAAUCCGGGUUAUGAGUUUCUGUUCUUUCUCCUUUACAUUCAUAAGAACUUGUUUAUGGUUGGUGAGGGCGUAGAAGAGAAAGAAAAGGAUUUAAAGUGAACAGCAUUCCAGGAGUUGUUGUAUGUUUUCCAUUACAUCAGAGCUGUCUGAAGGCCAUCGAGGGCAGAUCAUCACUGUCAGUCUGGGAGACUAAUGUGUCUCAUCAUUGUCUGUCAGAGAAUAAGAAGUGAUCCCAUGAUGCGCGUAGUGGUCUGAGUUUUUUGAUGUGUCAUGCACUGAAACUCUGGUCUUUGUCUGGUCAGAUUCCUGCUAAUGUAUCGUCUCUAAAGGCCGAGUAUUAUUGGCAUUAUUCAUCAGUGGAAUUUCUUAUGAAGCACUUACAGCAGCCUCAGGUCCUCAUUCAGGGUGGCUCUUAUCUGCAGCGCUGCAGGAGCCUCUCUGUGGUUCCUGUUAUUGCGAUCGUCAUGUUGUGCAGGCAAAUACUUGCACCCACUUCGGCUGUGGCCGGGCUCUCGGCCUUUUUCCACCGCCUGACAAUUCAGAUUGUUUAAACCGCGAUGGCAGAAAAUACGGAUUGUUUGUUUUUACAAUGCCAGUCUACAGUGGCCUGAGCGUGCGUUGUUUUGACUCUGAGAACAAUCAACUUCUGCAAUAAAAGAGCACCCCUCCCUCCCUCUCUCCCUCUCUGCACAACUCCCCCUCCUCUCUAACCUUCUUCUCCUCCUUAUUUAUUUACAACAAGGAUUCCUCCUGAAAUGCCAGCAUCUCCUCAUUAUUUUUUACUUUGGCUGGAGCAUGAGAAAACUCCUCAACAGAACAGAUUGUUUGGAACAAAACACCGAGGGGAAUUGUCUGAUGUGCUGCCAGUUGUCAAAAGUGUGUCGUUUGUAAUUGAGAAUUAAUGAACAGUCAUGUAAGCCUGGAAUGGCAGCAUCGUGUAAUCACAACAUGUUUAUUGGAUGAGCAAAUAAAGUUGACGUCCCGGAAACUUCCUCUGUGAUGGUCAAGGUGACUGGACUUCCAACGACUUCCAUAUAUUCGGUGUUAUGGCAUUUUGUUACCUUGACAUUGUUCCUAUUGAGUGCACCCAUGUGCCCACUUUUUAGACCUAGAAAACAACAGGAAAACACUCCUAAUUAACAGGUUACUUAACUCGUUCACCCUGGAGCUCAGAGCAAGGCUGUUGUUUCACCUGUCAGGUUUUGUAGUCUGGAACUGUUAUGCAUGAAAAUUGUUAGUUUUUGAAAAGAACUAGCUUUGUUUUUAUACAUAACUUGACAUAUUUAGAUUUUGAAUUUCUGCUCAUGGUUAUUGAUUCCAUUUAUCAGCUGAGAUAUUUCCUUUUGAAGGAAGUUGACCAACUCAAAAUACAAAUUUUUUUUAAUAUAAUAUAUGCCACCAUUUUGGGUGGGCUUGACACCAAUAAUUAAGACGUGUAACUUUCCACAAGAGGUUAAAUCUACAGGCACUCACAAGAUCAACAUGAUUUAUACUCCAAAUAUACAAAAAGUUUGCUUGGCUGGGAGAAUCUCAACAUGUACUAUAUGUGCUGCAUCAAUGUUAAAGACCCACUACAAUGAAAAUCAUGUUUUUCCUGCUGUCUACAUGUUCAUAUGGCAUUUUCCUGAUGCUACAGGUCAUAUCAUGAGAAUCGUAAGUGCGAAAUUGCAUUUCUGAGUAUUUCUGCAAUUUAAAUCGCUGUGACCCAAACGGCAGGCUCAGAAACAGUGAGAUUUCCUAUGUCACAAAUCCAAGCUCCGCCCCCAGAGCGCUGCUAUGCAGGCCAGUCUCGGAGAAACAGAGAGGACAAUUGCAGAACAAGUGUGUGCCUUAGCGGAUUGCAAUGUUCGUCAGAAGGCAAACUAUGAUAUUAACUUUCAUCAUGUCCUCAAAAACAUUAGUGUCUAAGAGCUGAAUAGCUUCUAUGUUACCUGCUACUUCUGCUUCACCGGCAAUGUUAAGCUACAAGCUAGCAUGAGGAGGAGUGUGCAGAAUGGCGCUGUCUCCGCAGUUGUAAAAAAAAAUUAUCGGAGUGGGACUUUCACUGGGAUAUUACACUGUUCUUGGGGGGCAUAUUGUGAUAGCUUAACACAAUUUGACUCUGCAGGGGUCCAUGUCUACCAAAAGUGGUCUAAAGAAGGUGGUGGUUGGUGGUCAAGACGAGCUGAUGUGGUCGGUGGGUAAUGGUGGCAACAGAGAAGCAACCGGACUCAGAUUUCUCAGGAGACUUUAGACUGGAUCUGAUAGAAAAGUUGUCAGAACACACAGUGCGUCACAUUUUUAGGGCUGCUUAACCGCAGAGUGACCAUGCCGACCUCCUUUACCACCAAACGAAACCUGCUGUGGUUACAUAAGAACCAAGACUGGACCUCUGAACAAUGGAAGAAGGUGGCCAACAGCAACAGGAUAGUGUCUACUUGGGCUCCAGUUCUCAAUCCAAUCAUGCAUCUAUGGGAAGGGCUGGACAACCAAGUCUGAUAGAUGGAGGCACCACCUUACAACUUCCAGGACUCACAGGAUCUGCUGUUGGUGUCUUGGCGCCAGAUUCCACAGCACUCCCUCAGAGAUCUGGUUGACUCUCCCGAUCAAGGAUGUAAAAACCCCGUUCUGAGACAAAUCUUGUCAAUCCCCAUCUGUAGUGGAGGAUGACAGUUGGCUGCACAGGCACUACUACCCCCAUCCCCUCUGUUGUACUGUGCCUUUAAAAACAAACAGUGUCGUCGAAGUUGGUUCCACUUGAUCUUAGGAAAGUUUGCAGGGAACAACAGGAAGCUGAGCUGCAUGUUUAUGGAAGAAGUACGUCAGAUUAUGUAGGUUUUGUCAACGAGAUAAAACACAACCGCUUCACAGAGAAAUGGAAAAGUACUUACUGAUGGAGACUUUGAAAGCUUUUCAGCCUUCCUCUCCAGACUUUCCUUUCUUCUCUUAGGGAACCAAAGAGUGUGUGAGUGUGUGUCUCUCUAUGUGUGUGUAUUUUAGGGGUUGUAGGUGAACUGCGGGUGGGGGAAAGGUGGGAGUCUCUCCUUUCAAAAGGGCCAAGAACAAAACAGGAAACCAUCCCCUUGUUUUGGCUCGUGGUCGCUACAAGUGUUUGGAAUUUUGAGGAGCCAAAUCACGUGUUUUUAUGUUCAUGUCUGCGCUCAGGUCAGAGCAUGCACACACAAACACACAAAAACUUUCACACACACAUACACACACAUAGAGGGGGAAUGUCUGGCAUGUCUUUAUAAGCAAAGACCUGAAGACUGAGAACCCCCCCGUGGAUGUUAUGAGCAGCGAUCACUGAAUAGACUAAAUACACCUCGAUACAGUUUGGUGGCCUUGCUUGACUCUGGGUUUGGAUUCAUUGUGGGCCAAAGUGAUGUUGAUGCUUGUGUCUUUAUGAUUUUGGCUAACAAGUUAACAAAACAUCAUGACCCCUUAAUAUAUCUCACUAACCAUACACUACUCUGCUUCUUUUAUCCGUUCAAAAAUGUGUUCGGGAAAUAACACAAAACAAAAAAAAAAAACAUCUUCUUGGAAUAUUUCUUAUCGCCUUCAACAAGAGAUAGUACAGAAAAAUGGGCUAUUGUUGUGAAAGGAAUCUGGGAACUUGUGUUAUUGUUGACACUGUUUCUACAAAGACAAGGCUUUCCUCCACUUCCUCAGGCAUCAUAUUGUUUAGGCAUAGUUGGCAUCUCUGUGUGGUUUAUUUUGCACCGUUGAGGUUACCUGGCAUGCUUCACGACCUGCCAACAGAACUACCAAACAAAGUGACACCUAUUCUUCUCAGCUCAUGCACGGGGACCUCCCCUGUGGAUGCCUUCCUGUGCCUGUCAGAUCCUCAGCUCCUACCCUCAUGAUAAACAACGUCUGAAGAGAUGCCUCCCCCGAUAUUAAAACUUUUUAAUGCUUCCUUUGAUUGUACGAAACAAUUGGUCACAUCAAGGUCGAGGCUACAAAGAGGAAAAAUAAAGGUUUGGCUCAUAAUUGAUACUUUGAUUGUUUCAAUUCAAGUAAAAACCACAAAUCAAAAACCUUCUCUUUUCUCUGUCACUUUAAUUAACCUACACGGUUCCAAAAUGGAAAGCUUGAUGGUUAUCAUUGAGGUACACCACAAUUCAUUUCACAGUAUGACUCCUGGCUACUGCGAUUAAGUGUAGACUGAAGUGGAAAGCCCAAACUUCAGAAGGAUCCCACUUCACACAACUACAAAACUGUUGUAUGUCAUAAUGUGAUAUAUUUACCGCAGAGGAUUAGAGCAACUGAGAAGAAAAUAUGAGGCUGAAUAUAAAUACUUUUUAUUAUUAAGCUGAAAAAAAGUCAGUAUUCCAAGAAAAACUCAUAGUUCUGAG